GGUUUCGACACCUCAUCGUAUGAAUUUCAUGGUCAAUUAAUUUGCGUGAGAAAAAGUUACUUUCCACUUCAAAUAACUUGUACAUCAACAGACAUGUUGAAAAAAAAAGUUUUUGAGAUCAACACCCCGGUCGGGGAAUAAUAUUUCAAGACAACUUGAUCGUAUGAAUUUUUGCCGUCUACCUGCCUGUGGGUCUUCCCCGCUCGCUGGGUUUCAGGGGGGGGGGGGGGGUUGCACUUGAACACUUGAAGCUCAGUGUCCAGCACCCUCUGGGAACAUCGUGUUUGAAGCAUCACAAUGGUGAGGUAUGGACUGUUAAUCAAUUGUGGCGUCGUCUUGGUCUCGUGAUGUCACAAAGUCAUCGGCAUGAUGAGGGGGACUCUAUGCAUAUAUAUAUACAUAUAUAUUAGUUUAAAUAUAUAUUUGUUUUUUUUUAAAUUGGGGCUCGUCUCAAUACACCAUUAAAAUGGAGUCAAAACUGCUAAUAUUAGCAGCAGUAGUAAAAAAAACCAAAAAACAAUAAAA